rnacentral:rRNA from 1 species
UACGUAGGGGGCAAGCGUUAUCCGGAAUUACUGGGUGUAAAGGGUGAGUAGGCGGCAUGGUAAGCCAGAUGUGAAAGCCUUGGGCUUAACCCGAGGAUUGCAUUUGGAACUAUCAAGCUAGAGUACAGGAGAGGAAAGCGGAAUUCCUAGUGUAGCGGUGAAAUGCGUAGAUAUUAGGAAGAACACCAGUGGCGAAGGCGGCUUUCUGGACUGAAACUGACGCUGAGGCACGAAAGCGUGGGUAUCAAACAGG